CCCAUAUCCAUCCCUUCACUUUUAGCCCACCAGACCGCUCCUAACCCUAAUAAUUUCUCCUUAUGCCAGCCACCCCCAUUUUCCCUUCCUCUUACUUUUCUCUCAUCCUCUCCAAUUUCUGUCAUCCAUGAACCUUACACAAAUGUGUGCAAGAGCACUGGAAAACAACUAUAAGACAACCACUCUCCCUGAUAAGCCGAGAAUCUAGCCGAAUACUUCCCAUUUCCAUCAUUCAUUUACAAAUCUCAACUCCUGAAACCCUACACCCAAACAUGAAAGACAAAGAAUCUCAUCAUCAUACCCUUCAUCACCGCAUUCAUUCGUUCAAAUCUCCAUUAAGGCAUCACAUGCAUCCAUAGAUUCGAAAGAAUCUUGACCUCAUCGUGACGGUUGAUAGCCCACAGGUCAAAUGCAGGGACCUCUAGGUAAAUGCUUUGUUUGGAGGUCCAUUGGCUUCAAACGGCUAGUCCGGUAGUCACCUCUGAAUUGGUUCUUAAUGGUAUGGAGUAAUUACCUGAUUUGCUUCCCCUAGAAAGUUCACGGUGAACUCUGGCCAUAGCAACUAAGCUGGACCCUCUCCUUCAUUUGCAGUCACUAUUCGCUGAAGCCCGUUGUUGCUUAAAAUUUAAAUUGGAUCUGACCUGUUGUCAGCCCAACACAGAGUCCAGCCCCUUCCCUUACUUUAUUUCAAUGCUGCUAUAAGCCCAUUCAUGUUUAUAUGUUGUAUUUGUGGAACUAACACUAAUAUCAUAUGAUUUUUUAUUUAUUGUGA